AGGACGAACGCUGGCGGCGCGCCUAAUACAUGCAAGUCGAGCGAGAACCAGGGCUUGCCCUGGGGAGAGCGGCGAACGGGUGCGUAUCACGUGAGCAACCUGCCCCGAAGACCGGGAUAACUCGAGGAAACUCGGGCUAAUACCGGAUGUCCUCGAUGGACCGCAUGGUCCGACGAGGAAAUGGAUUCCGCUUCGGGAUGGGCUCGCGGUCUAUCAGCUUGUUGGUGGGGUAACGGCCUACCAAGGCAACGACGGAUAGCUGGUUUGAGAGGACGAUCAGCCACACUGGGACUGAGACACGGCCCAGACUCCUACGGGAGGCAGCAGUAGGGAAUCUUGCGCAAUGGGCGAAAGCCUGACGCAGCGACGCCGCGUGCGGGAUGAAGGCCUUCGGGUCGUAAACCGCUUUCAGCAGGGACGAAUUGACGGUACCUGCAGAGAAGGCCGGCCAACUACGCGCCAGCAGCCGCGGU
rnacentral:rRNA from 1 species